rnacentral:lncRNA from 1 species
UCAAGAUGGUUCCCGUUGAGUACAACGGAUGUGACGAAUCUUAAUACCUUCCCCUCGCAUAACCGACUCCCUUACCCGUUUCUCUUCCCCUGGGUUUUAUCAAUAUUUUCCCUUUCCUUCGGGAAUAAAUAAAGUUUGGUGGAGAUUGUUGUAUAAUUGGGUGUGUGAUGCGCUCAGGUAUUUUUGGCGGUGCGACAAGUGGCAGUCGCCCACUUUUUGUUUCUUUGUUUGUAGUCACAUGAAUUUGUUCUUGCUGAGUAUUUUUCCUUUUGAUCCUUUCUUUUUAUUUUUCGUUUUUCUUUCUCUAAUUUUUCCUGGACUAAUUUUUUUAGUUUGUAGUCCACCGAGAUGCCCUAACUUUUUCCUAGGUCACUCGUUUUCGAGUUUUCGACUUAGUUGGCUUUUCUUCUCUUUUUU